GAUGAACGCUAGCUACAGGCUUAACACAUGCAAGUCGAGGGGCAGCGGGAGCUUAGCUUGCUAAGUUUGCCGGCGACCGGCGCACGGGUGAGUAACACGUAUCCAACCUGGCCCAUACUCGGGUAUAGCCUCUCGAAAGGGAGAUUAAUCCCCGAUGUUGUUGUUAUGUCGCAUGAUGUUUCAACCGAAGAAUUUCGGUAUGGGAUGGGGAUGCGUUCCAUUAGCUUGUUGGCGGGGUAACGGCCCACCAAGGCGACGAUGGAUAGGGGUUCUGAGAGGAAGGUCCCCCACACUGGAACUGAGACACGGUCCAGACUCCUACGGGAGGCAGCAGUGAGGAAUAUUGGUCAAUGGUCGGAAGACUGAACCAGCCGAGUAGCGUGAAGGAUGACUGCCCUAUGGGUUGUAAACUUCUUUUGUUUGGGAAUAAAGUGCAGCACGUGUGCUGUUUUGUAUGUACCAUUCGAAUAAGCAUCGGCUAAUUCCGUGCCAGCCGCCGCCGUAAUAC
rnacentral:rRNA from 1 species